rnacentral:rRNA from 1 species
GCGUUAAUCGGAAUUACUGGGCGUAAAGCGUGCGCAGGCGGUGAUGUAAGACAGAUGUGAAAUCCCCGGGCUCAACCUGGGAACUGCAUUUGUGACUGCAUCGCUAGAGUACGGCAGGGGGGGAUGGAAUUCCGCGUGUAGCAGUGAAAUGCGUAGAGAUGCGGAGGAACACCGAUGGCGAAGGCAGUCCCCUGGGCCUGUACUGACGCUCAUACACGAAAGCGUG